rnacentral:RNase_P_RNA from 1 species
GACUACCAGCAGUCUUGGUGACAAGGCUGGCUAGGUAAACCCCACUUGGAGCAAGGCUAAAUAGGAGGGAUAUAAGUUGCCCGCUUCUCCCUCGGGUAAGCUGCUUGAGGUAUGGAGUAAUCCAUACCCUAGAUGAAUGACCAUCACCCAAAAGGGGACAGAAUUCGGCUUAUGAUCUACUCUAGCUU